rnacentral:rRNA from 1 species
UACGAAGGGGGCUAGCGUUGCUCGGAAUCACUGGGCGUAAAGGGUGCGUAGGCGGGUCUUUAAGUCAGGGGUGAAAUCCUGGAGCUCAACUCCAGAACUGCCUUUGAUACUGAAGAUCUUGAGUCCGGGAGAGGUGAGUGGAACUGCGAGUGUAGAGGUGAAAUUCGUAGAUAUUCGCAAGAACACCAGUGGCGAAGGCGGCUCACUGGCCCGAUACUGACGCUGAGGCACGAAAGC